rnacentral:rRNA from 1 species
GGGCCCGCACAAGCAGUGGAGUAUGUGGUUUAAUUCGACGCAACGCGAAGAACCUUACCAGGGCUUGACAUCCAACUAACGAAGCAGAGAUGCAUUAGGUGCCUUUCGGGGAAAGUUGAGACAGGUGGUGCAUGGUUGUCGUCAGCUCGUGUCGUGAGAUGUUGGGUUAAGUCCCGCAACGAGCGCAACCCUUAUGGUUAGUUGCUACGCAAGAGCACUCUAGCCAGACUGCCGUUGACAAAACGGAGGAAGGUGGGGACGACGUCAAAUCAUCAUGCCCCUUAUGUCCUGGGCUACACACGUACUACAAUGGCGGUCAUACAACGGGGUGCGAAGCUGCGAAGUGGAGCAAAUCCCAAAAAGCCGCCUCAGUUCAGAUUGCAGGCUGCAACUCGCCUGCAUGAAGUCGGAAUUGCUAGUAAUCGCGGAUCAGCAUGCCGCGGUGAAUACGUUCCCGGGCCUU